rnacentral:rRNA from 1 species
CCCUUAGACGUUCUGGGCCGCACGCGCGCUACACUGACCAGUGCAACAAGCAUCCGUCCUUGGCCGACAGGCCCGGGCAAUCUUUGAACGCUGGUCGUGAUGUGGAUAGACUUUUGCAAUUUUUGGUCUUCAACGAGGAAUUCCUAGUAAACGCAAGUCAUCAACUUGCAUUGAUUACGUCCCUGCCCUUUGUACACACCGCCCGUCGCACCUACCGAUUGAAUGGUCCGGUGAAGCCUCCGGAUUGGCGCGCACCUCGGUGCCGCCGAGAAGUUGGCUAAACCUUACCAUUUAGAGGAAGGUGAAGUCGUAACA